rnacentral:tRNA from 1 species
GUUUUUAUGCCGAGUGGGGCUCCUUUGGGUCUAGCCCCUCUUUUGGUGCUAAUAGAAACAC